AGAGGAGGCGAGGCAGUUGCGGGCAUUUUGCCUGAGGAAAGUCCGGGCUUCCGAAAGACCAGACUUGCUGGGUAACGCCCAGUGCGCGCAAGCGUGAGGAGAGUGCCACAGAAACAUACCGCCAGGACAGUUUAGAACUCAAAAUUCUGGAUUAUUCCUGGUAAGGGUGCAAAGGUGCGGUAAGAGCGCACCAGCAACGUCGAGAGGCGUUGGCUCGGUAAACCCCGGUCGGAAGCAAGGUUGAAGGAGCAAGGGUUGGUCUUUUUCCCGCUCCGGGUAGCGUUCUUGGACGCUGCGAAAUCCGCUAGAGGUGUCUGGUAACAGGCAUCCCAGAUAGAUAACUGCUCCUUGGGGCGAAUCGUUCCAAGAGACAGAACCCGGCUUAUGACCGCCUCUUCCC
rnacentral:RNase_P_RNA from 2 species